rnacentral:rRNA from 1 species
UCGAAACCUGCCUAGCAGAACGACCCGUGAACGUGUUCAUAAAAUGAGGGGUCUAAAGCUGGUUAUGCCAAGCUCGGGCCCUUCACCAGGUCAUGAUCGGGGUAUUACGGUGCUUUACACCUUAGGUGCCUCGUUCAUGGCCUGCUAACCAACCCCCGGCGCGGAAAGCGCCAAGGAAUUACAAACAAAAAGAACGGACACCCCGAUUGCCUCGGAAACGGUGUGCAAAAGGGAUGGGCCGUGCUUUGAGAAUCUAAACGACUCUCGGCAACGGAUAUCUCGGCUCUCGCAUCGAUGAAGAACGCAGCGAAAUGCGAUACUUGGUGUGAAUUGCAGGAUCCCGCGAACCAUCGAGUUUUUGAACGCAAGUUGCGCCCGAAGCCUUCUGGCCGAGGGCACGUCUGCCUGGGUGUCACUCAAUCAUCGCCCCCAUCCUUUCUUUUUGGAAAGGGGCGGAAUAUGGCCUCCCGUGUGCUAUUCGCAUGUGGUUGUCCCAAAUAUCCGGUCCCCGGCAACGAUGCCACGGUAAUCGGUGGUUGUAUGACCCUCGCUAAAUGCUGUGAGCACCGGCUGCUGAUGAGACUCAUGAGACCCCAAAGCGAAUCUAAGGAUACGCUCGGAA